GACUACAUGAAGCUGGAAUCGCUAGUAAUCGCAGGUCAGCAUACUGCGGUGAAUACGUUCCCGGGUCCUUGUACACACCGCCCGUCACACCAUGGGAGCCGGAAAUGCCCGAAGCCAGUGACCCAACCUUAGGGAGGGAGCUGUCGAAGGUGGAGCCGGUAACUGGGGUGAAGUCGUAACAAGGUACC
rnacentral:rRNA from 1 species